CCUACGGGAGGCAGCAGUGGGGAAUAUUGGACAAUGGGGGCAACCCUGAUCCAGCCAUGCCGCGUGUGUGAAGAAGGCCCUCGGGUUGUAAAGCACUUUCAGUGAGGAAGAACGCCUGGUGGUUAAUACCCAUCAGGAAAGACAUCACUCACAGAAGAAGCACCGGCUAACUCCGUGCCAGCAGCCGCGGUAAUACGGAGGGUGCGAGCGUUAAUCGGAAUUACUGGACGUAAAGCGCGCGUAGGUGGCUUGAUAAGCCGGUUGUGAAAGCCCCGGGCUCAACCUGGGAACGGCAUCCGGAACUGUCAAGCUAGAGUGCAGGAGAGGAAGGUAGAAUUCCCGGUGUAGCGGUGAAAUGCGUAGAGAUCGGGAGGAAUACCAGUGGCGAAGGCGGCCUUCUGGACUGACACUGACACUGAGGUGCGAAAGCGUGGGUAGCAAACAGGAUUAGAUACCCUUGUAGUC
rnacentral:rRNA from 1 species